GUGUCCUUUACAAGUGGGAACCGUUGAAUGUGGGUAUUACAUUUUGAAAUAUAUGCAAUCGUGACUAAAGAGAAGAAUAUUAUAACAGAUGCGAUUGAUACGAGAAUCUCGUACUCGCAACUUGAAUUGGAUGAAGUACGCAUGGAAUGGGCUGAAUAUUUAGGUCGCUAUAUCUGAUGGACUUCCUAUAAAUUGUGUAUGUGGCUACAUGGGAAUGCC